rnacentral:tRNA from 1 species
GGAAGGCAUGCACACCCGGUGGUGUGGCCGGGCUUCAAACCCGGUGAGGGGCGUCAGUCGCUCCUGGGUAGGUUCGACUCCUGCUGCCUUCCGCCA